rnacentral:rRNA from 1 species
CCUACGGGAGGCAGCAGUGAGGAAUAUUGGUCAAUGGGCGGGAGCCUGAACCAGCCAAGUAGCGUGAGGGAUGACAGCCCUAUGGGUCGUAAACCUCUUUUGUCCGGGAAUAAAGUGCGGCACGCGUGCCGUUUUGUAUGUACCGGCCGAAUAAGCAUCGGCUAAUUCCGUGCCAGCAGCCGCGGUAAU